UGCUGGUGAUAAUAGUAAUUAAAAAAAAGGAAAAGUAAACCAGCUGUGUGAUAUGGACACAGAUACAUGAGGAGCGUGCAGCCGUGCACCUGGUUUAAUGGCUCUCUGAUUACGUUUUUACUUUAAUCCUUAGUAGUAGUCUUUCUCUCUUCCUCAUCUUCAUAAAUAUAAGCUUCCGCACAUUGAUAUGUUCAGCCCUAUAGCUUAUAUAUGAAUAUUGAAUCAUUGGAUAUGUAUAACAUUUCAUUAAAAAUUACUUAUAACCCUUGGUAGUGAUCUUCUUAAUUAAUAUAUUCAAGUGAUUGGGGACAUACGCACAGCCAAGAACCGUUAUAAAAGCAAGGCAGAUUAUGCUCCAAAAAACCACAAGCACUCUAGCUUUCUUCUUAAUCUUCUCAAUCACAGGCAUCCUCACAGGUUAUCAGCUAGUUUAUUCCCCUUAUUUCCAUUGAAGGUGAGAUUUGGAAAUUCCCACGAUCCAUAAUGGAAGGAAACAUGAAAGUUUGGAUUUUGCAGUUGGUGGCACUAUGGGUUUUGUUAGUGGCAAUUCACGAUCACCAUGUCGUGGCAAACGAUGGUGGCGUUUAUACUCAUCCCGAGCCUAUAAUUCCACUCCAUGCCUCCGAAGAAGGUAGGAAGGCUAUCAAUAAUUCAAGGUCGUUUUCCAUCGUCGGGGCAGGCAGUAAACUCUGCGUUUCAGUAAACAGAUUCGUGCCCCAGCUAGUGGAUUGCAAGGCCGACACAAAAGAGCAAAAAUGGGAGUUCCUUGCAGAUGGUACUUUGCGGACAGAGACAAACCAUAGCAUGUGCCUCACUUGUAAUGACCUAACCCAAGGAAGCGACAUUCUCGUUCUCCCAUGCAAAUUCAGUUCGUCUGAUUAUAUAUUUUGGAAAUAUAGGUCCUCUGAUAAAGCCAUUAUUAAUACUGCCAGUACUACUGAAGACCUGGUAAUGGAUUUGCGCGAAGGUCAAACAGAAGUCCCUCAACAAAUAUUUCUUUGGGAAUCCAAUGAUGGAGACAACCAGAUGUGGUAUCUAGAACCAUGAUUAAUCCUGCUCAAAUUAAAGGCAACAAGUUAUUGUUGCCCAAUAACAAUUACGUUACUUUAAUAUGAAUAAAGAUGGCUGCUGCCUCUGUUACAUCGUA